ensembl:lncRNA
AUAAAAAAUGAUGUUUCAAUGCAUUACAUAAUUUUAAGUAAAAUAGACAAAUUUCUAGUAGCACACAAACUGUUUAACCUGACUCAAACCUGUCAGUUAAUAUAUUUAAUCAUGAAAUGUCUAUUUUCUAAGAUUAGAAUCUGCUAUGCUUGUGUUUAGAUGUUCCCCCAAAGCCUUGUGAAGUCAUAGGUAAAACUUUUCGGAGGUGGCUGAAUCUAGAGUGUGUGAUGUUGUGAUUAAGGAUGUGAUGCUAGGAUUGAUUCAUACCGUGAUGCUAGGAUUAAGAAUGUGAGUGCUACCUGUCCUAAGAGCAUGUAGCCUGGAUAAAAUAUAAGGGACAGAAAGAGAGCUGCUGUCACUGCUUUCACUUGUUGCUUAUUUGCUAUUUCACUGCUUUGUUGCCUUCUGCCUGCCAUGAACUAUUUCUCCCCUGUGUUUCCCCUGUGCCAUGCUACCCUGCCUUGGAGCCAGCCAACUAUGAACUGAAACCUCUAUAAACUGUGAGCCAAAAUAAAGAUUUCCUCCUUUAACUUUGGGUGUCAAGUAUUUUGACUCAGCAACCAGAAAAGACAGAAUCAAUAUAAUACAGCAUUCAGCAUUGUUGUGGAAGUGCUAGCCAGGUCAUUUGGCAACAUAGGUAAGUAAAAUACAUCUAGAUUGGAAAAGAAUAAUAAUGAGAAAUUGUGAAGAAUUAACCACUGAUUAUUGAAACUAAUAAUGGAACUUAAUACCACAGCAAGAUACAAGGUCACUAUACAAAAAUCAGUUGUAUUUCUGUAUACAAGAAAUGAACAUUCUGGAAGUGAAGUUAAUGCAGCUCCUACCUUAGUGGUUCAAGUACUUACUGGGUCUAUUAUUGAGCACAUUAUUUAACCUUCAUUAGGCAGGAGACCCAAAUAGAUCAGAAAUUACAACAAAUAUAUUAAUUUUAUAUCCCUAAUGUAUUUAUUAACAAAUAAUAUAGGAAAAUUAUGCUAUUAUUCACUUGCUGAGUUAAUUAACAUAUAAAAACUCACUAUGGUCUUCAGUUUUUUCAUUGGCUAAAUAGGAACAAUAAUGUAUAUGUUGUGUGAAUUAGUAGAGAUUUCUAUAUUGUAAAUGAAAUAUGAUAGUGGAAGAAACAAAAGUGAAGUUAAGGCAACAAUUCUAGUCAUGAUAGUAUCAAAAGCAAAAUACUUAGCAACAACUUUCUAGAUGAAUGUGAAAAUAGAUUUCAUUUGUUAUGCUGAAAAUACCUAGUAAAUCUUGGAGUCUUCUGUUUUUGGCUCUGAGGACUUCACAGAAGGAGGAAAAGUAUUAUUGUCUUUUUAUAGGUAGAAACAGAGUCCCAGAAAGAGAGAAUUGCAAUGUAUAUCCUAGAAGGGGGAGCACUAGGUACUGAUUCCAUUAAUACAACUACUGGAAUGCAGACAUUAUAUUGCAUGCAUUAGGAAACAGACAGUAAGGGAUAGGUCCUGGUAAGAGUGAGUGCACCCCCCCCCCCCCCCCCACUUCACUCCACUGUCCCACAGUGUUUUUCUGCUACUCAGGCCUAGGUCAACCAUAAUAGACAGUUCCUGCUUAAAGAAAACCAGUGUCAGGGAAGCUGUGAGAAAUACCUCAUGAAGAAUCCCUUGUCUCCUUUGGGAAGAAACAAAGGCAAGGAAGGGAAAGAUCAGAAUCAUCACAAAUACAUGUGCACACACACAAAUAAUGAGUUGAUGGUUGAAGUAUACUUGAGAUUUCCUAGACGAAACAUUUAGGCAUUGGUAGUAUAAAUUUGAACAAGGAUUCUAAAGUAUACCUACCCUGUUACCCUGCAGUUUUGUUCCAUUAUUUACAGAAAUACAUUUUUUUCUGUAAUCCAUUGAAGACUCCAAAAUUAGUGCAGUGAGUGAUGGAUUGUAAGAGAGUGACCGUAUUAUUUUUCUAUUCAUUAAAACAUUUAAAGUAAAAUGCAGACAUGCUAUUUUCAUCCUUUGGAAUGUAGGAGUUCUAGGACUAUAAUACUGAUGUGAAAACUUAACAAGUUUCUUACUGUUACUCGCUGGCCACCAUUUGUAUUUCUUUGCUAUUAUCAUAAUAGUCCAGGUUGUUAAAAUAUGAUUGAAUCUUUAACAAAAAUUCUACACACUUGUCGUGUGGAUCUAGAUAAUUUUUGUUCAACAGGACGUGAUCUCUUAGCAACAGGACUCUGCUGGGAAAAUAAGCAGAACCUCUGUUGAUUCCUAGUGGAGAAACACAGGGUCUUAUGGGAAGUCUGGUCUCCUUUUUAGGGAUAUUAUCAGCACAGAAUCUUUUAGUAGUUCCUUCUGUGCAAGUGGGCUAAUGCUCACUACUCCCAGAAAUUCCCAGUGCUAGCUAGCUCUCCCCGAGGUGCCCUGCAGAUUCUGGUGACAGAUUCUAUGUCCCUGCAGGUGAUACAAGGAGAAGACCAUGGCUUUGAGAGAUGUUGGGGAAUAGGAUGGAUGAUGUACCACUCGGUAGGAGCAGAAAGAUUGAUAGAUCUCAGGUGUGGGAUGGCAUGACUGACCUGCAAUCCAUGGAACUGGGCUGUCAGGGAGGACAUUAGCAGGAGAUCUUCAUAUGAAUCCAGGAUUGAGAAAUAGCAACUGCAGCUCUCCUUUGAGUAAUGGAUCAGUCAAAAGAUGGUGUUCUUAGAAGGCAGUAUAUAUGCUUUCAUGUAUACAGGAACACAUGCCAAAAGCUCCAUAGAAUGUGUGGUCCAGUCCAAGAUGGCAACACCUGGGGUGGGAUAUGGAGGUAGUGUGAAUACAGGAGGUGUAUGGUGAGUUCACAUUUCAGUUCUGCCACUAAAUGGUCUUCCCCUUAAACUACGUGCCAUGUUUUUCCAUGUGUACUUAAAUGUACUUAAAAUGCUAGUAAAUGUCACCAAAUUUACAAAGUUAAUUGUGACAUGUGUGCUGACUAAGGUGUUGUAUUUUUAUGGUUUCAUCCAGUCUCUUCAGCAGAUGAACUUUCUGAUCUUGUACAUUAUAGCCUUCUUAGUAAUCUUGAUUUGAGUUUAGGAACGUUUUCACAGAGCUCAUCUCCAGGGAUAGGAAGAUCUAACAGGAAAGAGGAGUGCUAGAUGAUGGUUCUGUUCCCUGAAAGUAGUAAACCUUGUAUGGUAUGAGGGAACUCACCGGUCAGAGUGAGCAAGAUUUGAGUGAUAUUAGUUCAUGAGCUGUCAAAGACUGGAUACCAUUGGAAAGUUUGGUCCAGUUGUUAGAAUGGAUAUAUUAGUUGAGCUGAGUGAUAGGCUGAGUGAUAGUGAUAAAUGUUAUGUAUAGGUGGGAUCUUGUGGUAGGAGCCUGGGGUGUAGGGACAGCUGGUCAUAACUGAGAAAAUCUGUCUGCAUUUCCCCCAAUAUACUCUCAUUAUUUCACUUAAUUCUGUAUUUCCAGAUAUGGAGAUCUCUAAACCCUAGUCUGUCACCAUACUUGGUACCUAGAGAUAUGAUAAUGCUUCUCCCAUCCUAAUUUAUCUUCCUAGAAGUGAAGAAGUGGUGCCAGGGUCUUUGUGACUUACUAGGAUGAUGAAAAAUUGUAUUUGAGAUGAUAAUUAUGUUGCUCACCAUCACACGAUUAUAGAUGUCAGGCAUGCAGAAUUUUGACUCCUAUUUAUUUUACCACAAAUAAGUUUAAACUUUUCUUUAUCAGUUACAGGAAUUGCCUUCAAUUUAGAACAAAUAUUUUAGAAGAUUUGUCGUGAACAUGUUUAUUCUUUCAUCCCAAAUAUCCCCAAAAGAGUUAAUAUGACAAGUUAUUCCCUAAUGUCUGAGACAGUUCAGUUCUUGAAAAUAAUAAAUUUUGCAGCUGAGUAAUAGGAACACUUUUCUAUUAUUUAAGUGGGAAAAUUAAGCUGAAACAAGUUUUCUCCCAAUUGUUUCUUAAAUUAUGAGCAAAACAUAAGGCAGUGCCACAUAAAAGUAAAAGGUGAUGGUAUUAAAUUUUAAACUUAAUCUCAUUAUCUCUAGACUUUUUUCCUAUGAUUUAAAGCUUUGUAAGAACUGCAAAUAUUUUUGUAGGUUGUGUUUUACCUCUUCCUUGGACUUCAUGGACUUUUCUUAAUUGUAAGAGUUAAAUCUCUGCCUUGAACUUGAGUCAUUUAAAAAAAUAUAUAUAUUGAAAAAUACUUCACAGGCAGGAGAGCAGGUUGAGCUCCCAGAGUGAAGUCCUCAGGAUUCCUUGUCCAUCACCAGAGUACUUCCUUCCCUCCAGGGCUCAUAGACAUGGUCACAUCUGGGCCACAGGCUUGAGUCUGUUUCAUCUGGGUGCGGGUUUUUGUUGUGAGCUAUGGCGAAGCAGGCUUCUUAACAGAGAUGGUUUAAAUAUCUACUUUUCUUUCCAUUUCCAUUUUAAAAAUAUUCCUGCCCUAUAAUUCCAGUUUUUUUAUGUUUACUUUUUUUUUUUAAAACCCUAUUGUAGUCUUUUUCUUUUUUGGUGGAAAAAGACUAUACUGAGAGAAAAGAUAUAGGAAGCCUUGUCUUUGCAGCCACCACCUGUCUCCUUCAAAUUGCUGCUGCCUGGCUUGCUUUGUUCUCAUGAGUCCUGGUAUGGCUAGGGGCUUCCGUCCCUCUGAAACCACAGCUGGCUUCUUGGGCAGUGAGCUUAGUUCCCUGAACACUUGUGACUCCAUGUCCAGGAGGAAGAUACAGAAAGAGGCCACUGAAGAAAGGCCCAAGAUCUGAUCCCAUCUUCUGUCACCAAGUGAAUGAAGGCUGAAACCUGGCGUUCUCUCCAGUUAGGAGGGCUGGUGUGGAAGUGGCCAGCUAGGCCUUUGGCAGAGAGGAAGUUCUUCCACAAGCCUGGAUGGCAUUGUCUCUGUUGUGCGGUACUGUGGAGGCUUCUUUGCUCUGGGUGGCCCAGGUACCUCUGCCUGGGGACCAAUUUCUCUCUGAUGUGCAAGUGCUUAAAGAUGCCAGGCACCUUAAGUGCUGGGAAAGUGUGAGUCUGCUGGAUAGAAGUCCAGAGAUAAUAAUAAGGUUGUUUUUUUCAUACCAGCCAGAACUUGCUGUGGUGAGAGUGGGCUCUUCCCACAUUCAGCUCCAGACUUUUUAGAUCUGAGUCCACAUCAGGUACAUUUCUGCCGUGACCCACACAGUGUAGCUACAGUUCGAAGUCAGGGAGAGAAGUGGGAAAUGAGGAAAAAAUGAAGAAACAAAGACUAUUCUUGAAAGUUGGGACCAGGUGGAACAAUAGCUUGUCAGGAGCUAAGGCCGCUUGGAGUCCCACACGUUCCUUAUAGUGGAAGACAAACAGGAAGAGAAGGCAGGGCAAAUAGUGCUACAUGGCCUAUGUGGCCUAGGUGGAGCAUAGUGUGAUUGUUUCAUGAUCCGGACAUGUGCAGGAAGGGAACAGGGAAGGAUCCAUAGUGUAACUGUCUCCUGGGGCUGUGCCAUCCAAGGUCUACAAACUGACACAGUCUGUUUGGCUUUCUAAUCUAUGGAGGAGAAAGGGAGUAGGGAGGAGGCAAAGGACCAUCUUCAGGCUCAGCCUUCAGCACGUUUACCCUGUGUCCUCUCUGUAGUGUGUAUGGGGGUGGCUGGUAGUAACCUAGGGUUUCCAAUCCUGGCUCAAAGCUUUCUUGGGGCAUCUCCAAGUCUCUCCACAUUGUGCGGUGUUCCUGUGAUGUUAUCAAGGGAGGACCCAGCCAGGUGCACAAGCUUCAUGUGAGCAGGCAGCUUUGGUCACCAGGGACUAUAGUCCCCUCCUACCAGGAGUCACCUGGUUUUACCUGAGUUUUUCAAAUGUAUGUGAAGAAAGACCUCAGAUUUAGGGCUCUUUCCCUCAGGCUGGCUUCUACAGCUGACAAUGAAUUCCUGAAGUUUCAGUUCCCUACUUGUAUUCCCAAAUGCCAACUUAUCUUCAGUUCAUAGUAUUACCAAAUAAUUGGCCCUGUGCUGAAUUAGAACCCAACACACUAUUCAUUUUCCCCAAGUAAUGCCUGGCACUUUAAGACUUGUUUUCUCUUUGUUAGUAUUUCACAAAGGAGGAAAGCAUCUGUCAUUCUGGCUUUAAAACAUUUUCAUCCUUACCCCUUCCUUUUAAUCUUCUCUAGGCACAAAUGAUUUAUGAAGUCUUUUGGUUAAGGUUCCUUAUUGAAAACUAUGCAAGAUAGUAUGUCCUUAACCACUACACUGGCCUUUCUAAUCCUGCAUUUCAGAACAGCCCACAGGGACCUUUUCUCUUGGAGUGUCUAGUGAAUACCAGCCUCUGAACAUACCUUUCUCAAGGAUAAUCUGAGGUAUGGGAAGGAUAUUGCUAGAGGUUAGCAAGUAGGGUACUAGUGUGCAGGAAAACAUACAGAAAUCAGUCCUCUGGAUUCUCUCAGGUUUGUGAAAAGAGAAAAAUUAUCCCAAAGAAAAAGGAAAACCCCUUCCCACAAGUGGAUCCAAGAACCCACAGUGCAAUUCAGUGAGAUACACUGGGGAUAGGAGAAUGUUUCAGCGACAGGAUGAUGUGAGUUUAACUUUGGGUGUUCCCAUGAGCAGUACCCUCCUUGAUGUGUUGCCUUAAAAAGAUUUGUUCUCUUAUUUAAGCCUCAGUUUUUAUUACUAUUAAAUAUGUUUUAUUAGUAGAGUACAAAAUACAAGCAAGGGAUUCCAAAGAGUCUCCAUAGAGAUGGAUUUCAGAAAAAAGAUGUCAGUCCUAUAUUUCAUUAAAUGAAAAUUCCUAUUUAUCUGGUUUUGCCUAUGGAGUUAGUAUAAUGCCUUUCUCCAGUGAUUUGGGAGAAAUGAAUUCAAAUGGAGUUCCAGGGCUUAGGUCUGGUAACAUUAGCUAGUAAAAUAAAUAGAGGAAACCUGGCUGCCAUUACAACUGCAAAGAAAGGAAUAUAUUUUGGCCAUUGGUAUCACAGCAGGGCUGAUGUUUCUGUCUCUGUGCAUUGACAUGUGAUAAAACUCUGUCCCUUUACAGCUGAGUUACUUGCCUUACUUGGUUAAUGUGCUGUCUACAAUAUUCUUUAUGGUGAAAUUGCUUUUCUCUAUCAUUAAAUAUCUUGGUAAGAUUUCUUGAAAAACUUAAAGAAACAAUUAUUUUCUUUUAAAUUUCUCUGAUUGUGGUUUGCUUUGAAGAAUGAAGGCUUGUAUUUUCAUUUGCUGGUUAUUCUGGCAGUAUUUUCAGAGGUUCUGAAACCAUCAGAUCUUAGUCCUUUAAAUUUUCUUCUUAUUCUACCUAAUCACUGACAUACAUUAUUAUUUCCUUCUACUUUCACUAAAGGAAACAAGAAUCAUGUAAGACAUUUCAAAGGGUCUUAAAAGCCUGUGGUAUAGCUCAACAGAAUAAUCAAUGAAAGAAAAAUAAUUACUGAAACACCAGACUCAGAACCUGUGUUCUUAUUUUAGUUUCUAUCCUUAAAUAUGGUUGUCUCGUCAUUAAAAAAUAAAAUAGAAUAUCAUCCCCCAAUAGAUGUACAGGUUUUAAACAAUUUUCUUAUUUUUAUUGAUUUAAACAUUUUUACUGUUUACAUUGUGUAGUUUAUGUUUUAUGUAUGUCCAUAAAAUGUAAGUAGUAGCUGAUCAGUUUUGUUUAGUUAUCUCAACAUGUUUCAUGCAUAUCUUCAGUUACGAAAAGUUUUCUGCACAUUCUUUUAGCAUUAAUAAUUUUUCCUUUGUUUUAUGUAAAAUUUUAGGUGACAUGAACUUGAAUAAAAUUGAUUAAAUUUAGUGGAUAUUUGGAAAAACAUAGUAUGUAAGAAGAAAAAUAUUGCUAUCAAAAGUUACAUCAAGAAAUGGAGGGAGGAGAGAUGGAAAGGAAAGGGGGGAUGGAAAAAAAGGGAAUUAUGUACAUGUAGCGAUUUCUCACAAGGAAUCUAAACAUUAUGUACUACAAACAUGUACUAAUAAAAAAGAUAUAAAAAUCAAUAGAAUUAUACCUAGUAUAUUUAAUAUGUUCAGAAAGGAUUGCUGUACUUGCUAUUAUAUUAAAAUGUGUAAAUACUGUAAAAUGUAUUCAUUUAAAUUCAUAUGUGAAAUCUUUGAUGUGCUACCUUUUAAAAGCUGUCUAAAAUUGUGUCUCCUUGGACCAUGGAAUUUAGGAUUACUUCUAAGCUUUGCACACAUUCUGAAGCCUAAAGCACACCACUGUUGAAUCACAAUCUGCAUUUUAAUAAGGUCUCCCAUUAUUGGUUGUAACAUUAAAAUUUGAGAAGUACUUUUCUGACUUAUGACAACUUUCUUACAUGAGAAAUAUAUAGAACUUACCUGUUAAAAUAUAAAUGGAAUAUUUAGAAACGUAUGUUGCUGUGUUGAUUUUAUAUUUUGAAUUUUAAAAUGUGUUUACACUGGCUUUGUGAAUUUUGUGUUAUGCUUUUUUCUCAGAAUUAAAUAAUACUACAUUCAAGAAUGUUUGUGUUUAAAAGUACCCUAUAAAAUAAUAAAGAUCAUUACCUAUGUCAAAUGCAAUUUUAACUCAUUUCAUAUUGGGUCAAAUUAUGAGCUGUGUCAGUGACUACAGAAUCAAAGUGUGUUUGAUUGAUUGAUUGAUUGAUUUCAG